rnacentral:rRNA from 1 species
GUUUGACCUCAAAUUAGGUAGGAUUACCCGCUGAACUUAAGCAUAUCAAUAAGCGGAGG